UCCCUGGUAGUAUAUCGGUUAGUACACGCGCCUGUCAUAGGUACGAGGUAUUUUAUCCCGCGCGAAAGCUGGGUUCGACUCCCAGCCAGGGAG